GCAGAGAAUCCACAUAUCAUGUCGCCUACCCUAAAUAGCAACACCUUUAUUAAUGUUUUUUGCCAUAAUUGUAACAGGGACAAACGAGUAACUUACACUCCCUUAUGGACAGAAAACUAAUUUUUGUUUUAACAUGUUCUUUUUUUUUUGUUUUCCACUUGUUUGAGUACCAAAACUUAACUCACUCUAAUAUUGUAUGUUGUUAUCGUAUAAAAAAUGAUAUCUAGAUUACUGGACUGUUAUUAUCUCGUUAAGAUAUUGACAAAAAACUAUUAUUUGCAUGUCUAC
rnacentral:lncRNA from 1 species